rnacentral:tRNA from 1 species
ACAUUGGUGGUUCAAUUGUAGAAUUCUCGUCUGUCAUACAGGAGACCUGGGUUCAAUUCCUGGCCAACGCA